rnacentral:misc_RNA from 1 species
AAGUCGUAACAAGGUUUCCGUAGGUGAACCUGCGGAGGGAUCAUUACAGAGUUCGUGCCCUCACGGGUAGAUCUCCCACCCUGUGUUAUUGUUACCUUUGUUGCUUUGGCGGGCCGCCGUCAGGCUACCGGCUCUCGCUGGUAAGCGCCCGCCAGAGGACCCAAAACUCUGAAUGUUAGUGUCGUCUGAGUACUAUAUAAUAGUUAAAACUUUCAACAACGGAUCUCUUGGUUCUG